rnacentral:lncRNA from 1 species
AGAGGGCAUCAGAUCCCAUUACAGAUGGUUGUGAGCCACCAUGUGGUUGCUGGGAAUUGAUCUCAGGACCUCUAGAAAAGCAAUCAGUGCUCUUAACCGCUUAGCCAUCUCUCUAGCCUUUUUUUUUUCUUCUUCUUCUUCUUCUUCUUUUUUUUUAAAGACAGGUUCUUACUGUGCAUCCUUUAGCUGGCCUAAACCAGGAUAAUAUGGAGACCCAGGCUGGCCUCAGUUUGUAUUCCUCCUGCCUCUGUAUCAUGAAUGAAUAUUAGCAAGAAGUACCACCUGUCAGCUAGAUGAGUUUUCAGUUAGUUUCUUUCUUUGUUUCUUUCUUUCUUUCCCUCAUUAUUUAUUUUUUUUAUUUAUUUAUUUAGUUUUUUGAGACAGGGUUUCUCUGUAUAGCCCUGGCUAUUCUAGAACUUACUUUGUAGACCAGGCUGGCCUCAAACUCAGAAAUCCACCUGCCUCUGCCUCCGAGUACUGGGAUUAAAGGCGUGUGCCACCAUGCCCGUCAUCCUCCUUAUUUUUCUUUGUCCAAGUUUUCUUUAUUCUUGACAAUCAAAUAAACUGGAUCACCUAGUACAGAUCUGACUUUUUGCAUUCAACAUUCUGUUUAUAAGACUUAUUCACAUUUAACAUGCAAUUUGAAACAAUCUGCGUUCAUUGCUCUAUCAUAUCCUGCCCAAAUAUUUUUUAUUAGAUAUUUUCUUUAUUUACAUUUCAAAUGUUAUCCCCUUUCCUAGUUUCCCCUCCGAAAAUCCCCUAUCCCCUCUCUCCUCCCCCUGCUCCCCAACUCACCCACUCCUGCUUCCUGGCCCUGUCAUUCCCCUAUACUGGGGCAUAGAACCUUCACAGGACCAAGGGCCUCUCCUCCCAUUGAUAACCAACUAGGCCAUCCUCUGCUACAUAUGCAGCUAGAGCCAUGAGUCCUACCAUAUGUACUCUUUGGUUGGUGGUUUAGUCCCAGGGAUCUCUGGGGAUACUGGUUAGUUCAUAUUGUUGUUCCUCCUAUGGGGCUGCAAACCCCUUCGACUCCUCGGGUCCUUUCUCUAGCUCCUUCAUUGGGGACCCUGUGCUCUGUCCAAUGGAUGGCUGUGAGCAUUCACUUCUGUAUUUGCCAGAUACUGGCAGAGCCUCUCCGGCUCUCAAGAGAUAGCAAUAUCAGGUUCUUGUCAGCAAAAUCUUGUUAGCAUCUGCAAUAGUGUCUGGGUUGGGUGGUUGUUUAUGGGAUGGAUCCCCAGGUGGGGCAGUUUCUGGAUGGUCGUUCCUCCAAAUCUUAUUUAUUCGCUCUAUUGUUAAUAUUUAGGUCAUUUCUAGCUUAGGACUUUUUUUUUUUUAAAGAUUUGUUUAUUUAUUUUAUAAAUAUGAGUACAGUGUUGCUGUCUUCAGACACACCAGAAGAGGGCAUCAGAUCUCAUUACAGAUGGUUGUGAGCCACCAUAUGGUUGCUGGGAAUUGAACUCAGGACCUCUGGAAGAACAGUCAGUGCUCUUAACUGCUGAGCCAUCUCUCCAGCCCCAGGACUUUUUUUUUAAAGAUUUAUUUAUUUAUUUUAUGCAUGUGAGUACACUGUCACUCUCUUCAGACACACCAGAAGAGGGCAUCAGAUCACAUUACAGAUGGUUGUGAGCCACCAUGUGGUUGCUGGGAAUUGAACUCAGGACCUCCGGAAGAGCAGUCAGUGCUCUUAACUGCCGAGCCAUCUCUCCAGACCCCUAGCUUAGGACUUUUUUUUCAAUGAAGUUCCUGUAAGCAUCUUCUCAGGUUUCUGGUGGGCGUACAGACACUUAUUUUUCUUGUGGAGGGGGGAACCUUGUGGAGGAUAUGGAGUUCUAGCCUGGAAAUUGCGGCUGCCAGUAAAGGAAUCCUGGGACUGACGUGAUAUCCUGAGGCUUUUUGGGGAUGGGGGCAUUGUUUGUUUUGGGGUUCCUUUGUAUUUCUCUCACUGCUAUGGAUCAAACCCAGGUCCUUACUCCAGUCAGGGACACACUCUACUACUGAAAUAUACCCUUACCCAAGGAAUGAAGUUCUGUCUGAGGCUCUGGGCCAUUCUAGUUCUAAGGAGCUUGAUUUAGCAGAAAGCAGGUAGAGACCCUGGGACCCCAAGCACUUAGGAGAGGCUAAUUUGUGAGUUCUGUUCCACUGAGGUUCUGGGCGUCCCAGAAGGAGCAACUAAUGAAGAAAUACAUCGGAGUUACCGGGACCUGGUGAAAGUCUGGCACCCAGAUCACAACCGGCACCAGACGGAGGAGGCCCAGAGACACUUCCUGGAGAUCCAGGCUGCGUAUGAAGUCUUGAGUCAGCCCAAGAAGCCUAGAGCAUCCUAGAGGUGAAAAGCAACCACUUGAGGAUGGACUCAGUCUUGUCAGCACCAUCCUCAAAACCCAGGACCUGACAGUUAAAGAAACUGCUGGCAGCAGAGGGGAGGGAAACCUUACAGGGAUGAGAAGGGUAGAGAAUAUAUUUAUGUGUUGAAUUCUUGACUACCGUCUCCUCGAUUAUACUCUCUUAAGACGGAAAAGUAAAAGGAAUAUUAUAAAAUUAAUAAAAAUAUAUCUUUCAAAGGCUAUACCACGG